rnacentral:rRNA from 1 species
AACGAACGCUGGCGGUGUGCUUAACACAUGCAAGUCGAACGAGAACGUUUCCUUCGGGGGACUAGUAAAGUGGCGCAAGGGUGAGUAACACGUGAAUAAUCUGCCCUCGAGACUGGGGAUAACUUGGCGAAAGCUAGGCUAAUACCAGAUAAGACCACGUUUCAUAAAGAAAAUGCGGAAAAAAGGAGUCUCAACCUUCACUCGAGGAUGAGUUCGCGGACCAUUAGCUUGUUGGUGAGAUAAAAAGCUCACCAAGGCUACGAUGGAUAGCCGGCCUGAGAGGGUGAUCGGCCACACUGGAACUGAGACACGGUCCAGACUCCUACGGGAGGCAGCAGUGGGGAAUAUUGCGCAAUGGGCGAAAGCCUGACGCAGCAACGCCGUGUGAGCGAUG